rfam:Ornithorhynchus anatinus chromosome 2, whole genome shotgun sequence.
CCCCUCUCAGGAUCGCACCUAGAGAGUUCCCAAUACUCUACCAGUCUCGGCUAUGGGAGGAAGAGUCAAGCAGAGGCAUACCCAUUCUAUUCCUAGCUUGGGCAAUGGUUAGCGAAUGGAAGGCAAUUUGCUGCAAGA